rnacentral:lncRNA from 1 species
UGGGUACUCAGAAUCCACAAGGAUCUCUUUCUGGUAUCAUAUGCAGGGGACUAGAAUAGACAUUGCAUGUUUAAUUUUGAACCUGUAGGGUAAGAUCUACUAACUACAGACUAGGAAGACUAAUUUCAUGUUAGAAGAUCUUUCUGGUAGUAGCAGUGUCUUCAUCAACUACCUCAGUGCUCUCUCCUAACUUAUUUUAGUGAUGGCUGUCCUUGAAACUGGAUACAAGUGUCUAGUACCCGUAAAAAGAAGCUGAGCAAGUCAAAUCUUCUAUUUUAAGUGAAGGAUUCUUACAGAUUUCUUGGAUAUAUUGAAAGACUGCAUCAGAAUUCAGCUUGUGUCUGUGCCAGCAACUGUGCAGAUUCAUGGCAGCAUCCAUACCGUAGUACUGCCUGUGCACUGAGGCAUGCAGCUUCUUGGUCUCCCUCUGGAUACUGAGGAGAUCGAGCUGUUUUUCAUCCAUUUCCCUU